rnacentral:sRNA from 1 species
UGUGGGAUUGGGAAUGAAAUGGUUGACCACACCGCCGAUCACCGCGUACGUGCGCUUGCCCUCUGUGAGCAUAUGCACACCGCGGCGCUUGAAUUCCUU